rnacentral:rRNA from 1 species
AAAGCGUAAUAGCUCACUGGUCGAGUCGGCCUGCGCGGAAGAUUUAACGGGGCUCAAGCUGUGUACCGAAGCUGCGGAUGCAAGCUUGCUUGCAUGGUAGAGGAGCGUUCUGUAAGCCUGUGAAGGUGUGUCGAAAGGCAUGCUGGAGGUAUCGGAAGUGAGAAUGCUGACAUGAGUAACGUUAAUGGAGGUGAAAAACCUCCACGCCGAAAGCCCAAGGUUUCCUGCGCAACGUUAAUCGGCGCAGGGUUAGUCGGCACCUAAGGCGAGGCCGAAAGGCGUAGUCGAUGGAAAACAGGUUAAUAUUCCUGUACCUCAUAUUACUGCGAUGGGGGGACGGAGAAGGGUAGACAGCCAGCCGGGUGUUGGAUGUCCCGGUUUAAGCGUGUAGGGAGUGUUCUUAGGCAAAUCCGGGAGCACAAUCCUGAGACGUGAUGGGGAGUUCCCUUUGUGGAGCGAAGUGGUCGAUCCCAUGCUUCCAAGAAAAGCCUCUAAGCUUCAGGUAAUAGGAGACCGUACCCCAAACCGACACAGGUGGGCAGGGUGAGAAUCCCAAGGCGCUUGAGAGAACUCGGGUUAAGGAACUCGGCAAAUUGGCACCGUAACUUCGGAAGAAGGUGCGCCCUUGUUAGGUGAAGGACUUCGCGUCUGGAGCCGAAGAGGGCCGCAGUGACCAGGUAGCCGCGACUGUNNCCUAAAGUUGAGUGGGUUGGAGCAGAUCGUCCGACUUGCGAUGAAAAUGAAUCCAACGGGGAAAAGGAAAUACUCCGGUAGCGAGAUUCUCAACUCGUUACGAUCAGAUGAAGGUAUAGUCUAUGCCACGGGAAACCGUNNNNNNNNNNNNNNGAAAUUCCUUGUCGGGUAAGUUCCGACCUGCACGAAUGGCGUAACGAUGGCCACACUGUCUCCACCCGAGACUCAGUGAAAUUGAAAUCGCUGUGAAGAUGCAGCGUACCCGCGGCAAGACGGAAAGACCCCGUGCACCUUUACUACAGCUUCACACUGAACUUUGAACAUGUUUGUGUAGGAUAGGUGGGAGGCUUUGAAGCGGGGACGCCAGUUCCCGUGGAGCCAACCUUGAAAUACCACCCUGGCAUGUUUGAGGUUCUAACCGAGGCCCGUUAUCCGGGUCGGGGACCGUGUGUGGUGGGUAGUUUGACUGGGGCGGUCUCCUCCCAAAGAGUAACGGAGGAGCGCGAAGGUACCCUCAGCGCGGUCGGAAAUCGCGCAUUGAGUGCAAAGGCAUAAGGGUGCUUGACUGCGAGACAGACACGUCGAGCAGGUGCGAAAGCAGGUCUUAGUGAUCCGGUGGUUCUGUAUGGAAGGGCCA